UACGUAGGGGGCAAGCGUUGUCCGGAAUCAUUGGGCGUAAAGAGCGUGUAGGCGGCCCGGUAAGUCCGCUGUGAAAGUCGGGGGCUCAACCCUCGAAAGCCGGUGGAUACUGUCGGGCUAGAGUGCGGGAGAGGCGAGUGGAAUUCCUGGUGUAGCGGUGAAAUGCGUAGAUAUCGGGAGGAACACCUGUGGCGAAAGCGGCGCACUGGACCACAACUGACGCUGAGGCGCGAAAGCUAGGGGAGCAAACAGG
rnacentral:rRNA from 1 species